AGAAUUCAUUUUGUUCCAGACAGUUCUAAAAGAGAUGAAGUUUCUCUCUCUUCUCUCCAUCUCCGAUUCUCCAUGUUCUCAUGGAAUCAGAGCGUGGUUCUUCUUCUCGGAUGUCUCAUCUCUGUUCUUAGUCCUUCCUGUCCAGCAUUAUUGAGUUAUAGGUGGUGAUUCUGGAUUUUGUUUUUUUGCGAUUUGUUGGUGGAAUCGGAUAUGUUUUCAGUCCCUUUAUAUGGAUUGUUGUUGUUUUUUCAAGCGUGGUGUUUAGGGUAAACUUCCGACACCUUUCGCGGUUGAUUCUCACGGAUUCAGAAGCGUUGGAUUUGCAUUGAACAAAGCUAGGGUUUUCUCUGAAUUUUUGAAGGCCGCUCUUCUCUGGUAGCGUAGAAGUCGAGUAACCCUAUUCUCACUUUCGAUAAGAGCUUGCAUGUGUUUUUUCUGGAUAAUAUGGUGUAUCGAGUAGUCCACGGAUAUUGAAUCAAUUUCUCUUCAACACUGUUCUUUUGUUUCUGAUAACAAAUAUGAAUCCUAAUAAUGCUUCACCCAUUGACCCUACAAGCCCUUUCUUUGUUUACUCUUCUGAUGUUCCUGGUGUUUCACUUGUUCCUA
rnacentral:lncRNA from 1 species